AUUGAACGCUGGCGGCAGGCCUAACACAUGCAAGUCGAACGAGUGGCGGACGGGUGAGUAAUGUCUGGGAAACUGCUCGCUGGAGGUGGCUACCUACUGGAAACGGUAGCUCAUACCGCAUACCAUCGGAUGUGCCCAGAUGGGAUUAGCUAGUAGGUGGGGGAACGGCUCACCAAGGCGACGCUCCCUAGCUGGUCUGAGAGGAUGACCAGCCACACUGGAACUGAGACACGGUCCAGACUCCUACGGGAGGCAGCAGUGGGGAAUAUUGCACAAUGGGCGCAAGCCUGAUGCAGCCAUGCCGCGUGUAGGAAGAAGGCCUUCGGGUUGUAAAGUACUUUCAGCGAGGAAGCGUUACUCGCAGAAGAAGCACCGGCUAACUCCGUGCCAGCAGCCGCGGUAAUAC
rnacentral:rRNA from 1 species